AGUGAACGCUGGCGGUAGGCCUAACACACGCAAGUCGAACGGCGGCACAGUAAGAGCUUGCUCUUACGGGUGGCGAGUGGCGGACGGGUGAGGAAUACAUCGGAAUCUACUUUUUCGUGGGGGAUAACGUAGGGAAACUUACGCUAAUACCGCAUACGACCUACGGGUGAAAGCAGGGGAUCUUCGGACCUUGCGCGAUUGAAUGAGCCGAUGUCGGAUUAGCUAGUUGGCGGGGUAAAGGCCCACCAAGGCGACGAUCCGUAGCUGGUCUGAGAGGAUGAUCAGCCACACUGGAACUGAGACACGGUCCAGACUCCUACGGGAGGCAGCAGUGGGGAAUAUUGGACAAUGGGCGCAAGCCUGAUCCAGCCAUACCGCGUGGGUGAAGAAGGCCUUCGGGUUGUAAAGCCCUUUUGUUGGGAAAGAAAAGCAGCAGGUUAAUACCCCGCUGUUCUGACGGUACCCAAAGAAUAAGCACCGGCUAACUUCGUG
rnacentral:rRNA from 1 species